rnacentral:rRNA from 1 species
AUUGAACGCUGGCGGCAUGCCUUACACAUGCAAGUCGAACGGCAGCACGGGAGCUUGCUCCUGGUGGCGAGUGGCGAACGGGUGAGUAAUACAUCGGAACGUACCCAGGAGUGGGGGAUAACGUAGCGAAAGUUACGCUAAUACCGCAUAUUCUGUGAGCAGGAAAGCGGGGGAUCGCAAGACCUCGCGCUCUUGGGGCGGCCGAUGUCGGAUUAGCCAGUCGGUGAGGUAAAAGCUCACCAAGGCGACGAUCCGUAGCAGGUCUGAGAGGAUGAUCUGCCACACUGGGACUGAGACACGGCCCAGACUCCUACGGGAGGCAGCAGUGGGGAAUUUUGGACAAUGGGGGCAACCCUGAUCCAGCCAUGCCGCGUGAGUGAAGAAGGCCUUCGGGUUGUAAAGCUCUUUCGGCGGGGAAGAAAUGGCAACGGCUAAUAUCCGUUGUUGAUGACGGUACCCGCAUAAGAAGCGCCGGCUAACUACGUGCCAGCAGCCGCCGUAA